AUUGAACGCUGGCGGCAUGCCUUACACAUGCAAGUCGAACGGCAGCACGGGUGCUUGCCCCUGGUGGCGAGUGGCGCACGGGUGAGUAAUACAUCGGAACAUGUCCUAUAGUGGGGGAUAGCCCGGCGAAAGCCGGAUUAAUACCGCAUACGAUCCACGGAUUACAUCGGGGGACCUUCGGGCCUCGCGCUAUAGGUUUCGCCGAUGGCUGAUUAGCUAGUUGGUGGGGUAAAGGCCUACCACGGCGACGAUCAGUAGCUGGUCUGAGAGGACGACCAGCCACACUGGGACUGAGACACGGCCCAGACUCCUACGGGAGGCAGCAGUGGGGAAUUUUGGACAAUGGGCGAAAGCCUGAUCCAGCAAUGCCGCGUGUGUGAAGAAGGCCUUCGGGUUGUAAAGCACUUUUGUCCGGAAAGAAAUCCUUGACUCUAAUACAGUCGGGGGAUGACGGUACCGGAAGAAUAAGCACCGGCUAACUACGUG
rnacentral:rRNA from 1 species